AGAAAGUUUUAUUCUUGCUUUUUCAUUCAGUUUUUGUUUGUUCUAUAUGUGAGUUUUUGCGUGUUUGGUAUGUGGUUUCUCUAAAUGGGUUCUAUUUUUGGUUGGUUAUUUUCAUUAGUUAUUAUUGGUUGAUCAAGUGUUCUUGUAUCUAGCAAUUUAUUUUAGUUUCGGUUAAAUUUUGUGCCAGCAGCCGCGGUUAUACCUUGGAGGCGUUUGAAUGUGUUUGGUUUGUGUAGUUGUAUGCUUGUAUUUGUUGACUUUCCCUUGGUUGUUAUUGUUAGGUGAAAUUUUUAUUUUUGUUAUUGUUUGUUGUUGUCUUGGAGGCUAUGAAGCUUUUGGUUUAGACUAGGAUUAGAUACCCUAUUAUUUUUGAGUGUUAAUAUUUUGUGCCAGAGUAGUAUUAGUUAUGUUCUUGAAACUUAAAGAAUUUGGCGGUAUCUUAUUCCGUUCAGAGGAAUCUGUCUCGUUAUCGAUAGUCCGCGUUGGACCUUACUUGGAAUUGUUGGUAGUUUGUAUACCGCCGUUUAUUGAUUAUCUUUUUAGAGUUGGUGAAUUUUCUAGUUUCUUUAUUUUGAUUUAUUACAGGUCAAGGUGCAGCUUUUUCUAAGUGUAAUGAUGGAUUACAGUGUUAUUUGUUUUUGGAUUGUUUGUUUUAAUAUUAACAUGAAAUUGGAUUUGGUUGUAAUGUUUUGUAGAUUGUUUUCAUGAUAUUGGUUCUGAGAUAUGUACACAUCGCCCGUCGCUCUCGUUUAGUUGUUAAUGAGAUAAGUCGUAACAAAGUGGUUGUACCGGAAGGUGUGGCUGGAAUGAU
rnacentral:ncRNA from 1 species